AAUUAGCAAACCGAAGCAACCUUAAGGUAACAAUUUAUUACAAACCCAUUAAGUAACUUGUAUCUUCGCUGCUCUCACAGAAGAGAAUCAACGGAAAUAUUAUUGUAAUCCAUGCUAGUUCACACAAUUUUCCAUUAUUGUAAUUCAUACUGGUUCACAAUUUUACAUGAACAAAGUAUACAUUAUCCUGUCAAACACCACUUAAGGAGCAUUCAAU
rnacentral:misc_RNA from 1 species